AUUGAACGCUGGCGGAAUGCUUUACACAUGCAAGUCGAGCGGCAGCGCGGGGCAACCUGGCGGCGAGCGGCGAACGGGUGAGUAAUACAUCGGAACGUACCCAGUUGUGGGGGAUAGCCCGGCGAAAGCCGGAUUAAUACCGCAUACGACCUGAGGGUGAAAGUGGGGGAUCGCAAGACCUCACGCAGUUGGAGCGGCCGAUGGCGGAUUAGCUAGUUGGUAGGGUAAAGGCCUACCAAGGCGACGAUCCGUAGCGGGUCUGAGAGGACGACCCGCCACACUGGAACUGAGACACGGUCCAGACUCCUACGGGAGGCAGCAGUGGGGAACUUUGGACAAUGGGGGCAACCCUGAUCCAGCCAUUCCGCGUGAGUGAAGAAGGCCUUCGGGUUGUAAAGCUCUUUCGGCAGGAACGAAACGGUCUGUGCUAAUACCACGGGCUAAUGACGGUACCUGAAGAAGAAGCACCGGCUAACUACGUGCCAGCCGCCGCGGUAA
rnacentral:rRNA from 1 species